rnacentral:rRNA from 1 species
AGACGACGCUGGCGGCGUGCCUAAUACAUGCAAAGUCGAAACGAACGCUGAAAAGCUUGCUUUUCAGAGUUAGUGGCGAACGGGUGAGUAACACGUAAGUGACCUAGCUAAUUAGACGAGGAUAACUACUGGAAACGGUAGCUAAGACUGGAUAGGAUAGAAAUAUUUAAAGGAUGCUAAGGCAUCGCUAAUAGAGGGGCUUGCGGCGCAUUAGCUAGUUGGUAGGGUAAAAGCCAACCAAGGCGAUGAUGCGUAGCCGACCCUGAGAGGGUGACCGGCCACACUGGGACUGAGACACGGCCCAGACUCCUACGGGAGGCAGCAGUAGGGAAUCUUCGGCAAUGGACGGAAGUCUGACCGAGCAACGCCGCGUGAAGUGAAGAAAGUUUUCGGAUUGUAAAGCUCUGUUAUUAGGGAAGAAAAGCAUUAGGAGGAAAUGCCUAAAGUCUGACGGUACCUAAUGAGGAAGCCACGGCUAACUACGUGCCAGCAGCUGC